AGGACGAACGCUGGCGGCGUGCUUAACACAUGCAAGUCGAGCGAGGUCCACUCGGUGGCAACACCGGGGAAGACCGAGCGGCGAACGGGUGAGUAACACGUGAGCAACCUGCCCCGAAGACCGGGAUAACAUCGGGAAACCGGUGCUAAUACCGGAUGCCCUCAGUGGACCGCAUGGUCCGUUGAGGAAAUGGAUUCCGCUUCGGGAGGGGCUCGCGGGCUAUCAGCUUGUUGGUGGGGUAACGGCCCACCAAGGCUACGACGGCUAGCUGGUCUGAGAGGACGACCAGCCACACUGGGACUGAGACACGGCCCAGACUCCUACGGGAGGCAGCAGUGGGGAAUCUUGCGCAAUGGGCGAAAGCCUGACGCAGCAACGCCGCGUGGGGAUGAAGGCCUUCGGGUCGUAAACCCCUUUCAGCAGGGACGAAAUGACGGUACCUGCAGAAGAAGCCCCGGCCAACUACGUGCCAGCAGCCGC
rnacentral:rRNA from 1 species